GAUGAACGCUAGCUACAGGCUUAACACAUGCAAGUCGAGGGGCAGCAUGAAGUUUGCUUGCAAACUUUGAUGGCGACCGGCGCACGGGUGAGUAACGCGUGGAGAACCUGCCUCGUACUGGGGGAUAACAGUUGGAAACGACUGAUAAUACCGCAUAAGCCCACGAGACCGCAUGGUCAUGAGGGAAAAGAUUUAUCGGUACGAGAUGGAUCCGCGUCUGAUUAGCCAGUUGGCGGGGUAACGGCCCACCAAAGCGACGAUCAGUAGCCGGCCUGAGAGGGCGGACGGCCACAUUGGGACUGAGACACGGCCCAAACUCC
rnacentral:rRNA from 1 species